rnacentral:rRNA from 1 species
AGAGUUUGAUCAUGGCUCAGAUUGAACGCUGGCGGCAGGCCUAACACAUGCAAGUCGAGCGGUAGCACAGAGAGCUUGCUCUCGGGUGACGAGCGGCGGACGGGUGAGUAAUGUCUGGGAAACUGCCUGAUGGAGGGGGAUAACUACUGGAAACGGUAGCUAAUACCGCAUAAUGUCGCAAGACCAAAGUGGGGGACCUUCGGGCCUCAUGCCAUCAGAUGUGCCCAGAUGGGAUUAGCUUGUAGGUGGGGUAACGGCUCACCUAGGCGACGAUCCCUAGCUGGUCUGAGAGGAUGACCAGCCACACUGGAACUGAGACACGGUCCAGACUCCUACGGGAGGCAGCAGUGGGGAAUAUUGCACAAUGGGCGCAAGCCUGAUGCAGCCAUGCCGCGUGUGUGAAGAAGGCCUUCGGGUUGUAAAGCACUUUCAGCGGGGAGGAAGGCGGUGAGGUUAAUAACCUCAUCGAUUGACGUUACCCGCAGAAGAAGCACCGGCUAACUCCGUGCCAGCAGCCGCGGUAAUACGGAGGGUGCAAGCGUUAAUCGGAAUUACUGGGCGUAAAGCGCACGCAGGCGGUCUGUCAAGUCGGAUGUGAAAUCCCCGGGCUUAACCUGGGAACUGCAUUCGAAACUGGCAGGCUAGAGUCUUGUAGAGGGGGGUAGAAUUCCAGGUGUAGCGGUGAAAUGCGUAGAGAUCUGGAGGAAUACCGGUGGCGAAGGCGGCCCCCUGGACAAAGACUGACGCUCAGGUGCGAAAGCGUGGGGAGCAAACAGGAUUAGAUACCCUGGUAGUCCACGCCGUAAACGAUGUCGAUUUGGAGGUUGUGCCCUUGAGGCGUGGCUUCCGGAGCUAACGCGUUAAAUCGACCGCCUGGGGAGUACGGCCGCAAGGUUAAAACUCAAAUGAAUUGACGGGGGCCCGCACAAGCGGUGGAGCAUGUGGUUUAAUUCGAUGCAACGCGAAGAACCUUACCUGGUCUUGACAUCCACAGAACUUUGCAGAGAUGGUUUGGUGCCUUCGGGAACUGUGAGACAGGUGCUGCAUGGCUGUCGUCAGCUCGUGUUGUGAAAUGUUGGGUUAAGUCCCGCAACGAGCGCAACCCUUAUCCUUUGUUGCCAGCGGUCCGGCCGGGAACUCAAAGGAGACUGCCAGUGAUAAACUGGAGGAAGGUGGGGAUGACGUCAAGUCAUCAUGGCCCUUACGACCAGGGCUACACACGUGCUACAAUGGCAUAUACAAAGAGAAGCGACCUCGCGAGAGCAAGCGGACCUCAUAAAGUAUGUCGUAGUCCGGAUUGGAGUCUGCAACUCGACUCCAUGAAGUCGGAAUCGCUAGUAAUCGUAGAUCAGAAUGCUACGGUGAAUACGUUCCCGGGCCUUGUACACACCGCCCGUCACACCAUGGGAGUGGGUUGCAAAAGAAGUAGGUAGCUUAACCUUCGGGAGGGCGCUUACCACUUUGUGAUUCAUGACUGGGGUGAAGUCGUAACAAGGUAACCGUAGGGGAACCUGCGGUUGGAUCACCU